GACGAACCGUGCGAACGUUGUUCGGAAUCACUGGGCUUAAAGGGCGCGUAGGCGGGCUGGUAAGUCAGGGGUGAAAGCCCACGGCCCAACCGUGGAAGUGCCUUUGAUACUGCCAGUCUCGAGGGAGGUAGGGGCGUGCGGAACUUCCGGUGGAGCGGUGAAAUGCGUAGAUAUCGGAAGGAACACCGGUGGGGAAAGCGGCGCGCUGGACCUCUUCUGACGCUGAGGCGCGAAAGCCAGGGGGGCAAACGGG
rnacentral:rRNA from 1 species